UGUGAAUUUGUUUCCAAAUUCAGGCGGGGAAUGUUCCGUUUUUGUACAGUUUUUGUACCGGUUUAGUACGGAAUUUUCACUUUAAUUUUGUAAGAGUUGUGUCCCUUGGUAUAAGUACGCCAUUUGUAUAGGAAAUGUCGCGUCAUGCGAAAGGCAAUUUUGCUCCGGCAAAUUGUAAAUUUAUAGGCCUCCCUAGGUUCCCCACAGUCUUUUUACCUUGCCUCUCUGGAGGGAUGUAAUCGAUGAAUAAAAUACUAGCAAACUCAAAGGUCGUGACAACAUUGUAAAAGAAAAGAAUUAAAUGAGAAAUUUGACAAUGAUGUAUGUUGAGGAUGGAUGUUCGUGAUCUUUUGAUUUUGUCUUGCAUAAUGUAACAACUUUUCUAUGAAUAAAAAUGUAGCAUUUUUUCUAUGAAUAAUGAAAAUUAAUACCGAAUGAACUACGCUAAACGUAAAUGAUUUGUUUCAUUAUGUUUACAAUGCCUUGUAAUGAUACGGAUACGUCCAACUACGGCAGUAAAGUAAAUCUAAUUUCAAGAAAAGUAUAUCAAAAUUUCAAUUUGAAAAGUAACACCUACCUUCCACUAAUACUCUUCCAUUCUUGAGCACAGUAGACAAAACAUGUGAGGUUUUAUUAUUAUUUUACCCCAAAUAAAUCGCUUUAGUACUUUCA